CGAGUGCGACGGGUGAGUAAUACGUAGGUAUCUGCCCCGUAGUGGGGGAUAACCCGGGGAAACCCGGGCUAAUACCGCAUACGCUCUUUUAUCGUUGAGAUAGGAGAGGAAAGCGAGGGACCGAAAGGCCUCGCGCUAGAGGAUGAGCCUACGUCCGAUUAGCUAGUUGGUAGGGUAAAGGCCUACCAAGGCGACGAUCGGUAGCUGGUCUGAGAGGAUGGCCAGCCACACUGGGACUGAGACACGGCCCAGACUCCUACGGGAGGCAGCAGUGGGGAAUAUUGGACAAUGGGGGAAACCCUGAUCCAGCGAUGCCGCGUGGGUGAAGAAGGCCUGCGGGUUGUAAAGCCCUUUCAGUGGGGAAGAAAAACGGGGUGUGAACAGCGCCUCGUCUUGACGUUACCCACAGAAGAAGCACCGG
rnacentral:rRNA from 1 species